GAGGAAUAAGCAUCGGCUAACUCCGUGCCAGCAGCCGCGGUAAUACGGGGGAUGCAAGCGUUAUCCGGAAUCAUUGGGCGUAAAGCGCCUGUAGGUUGUUUAAUAAGUCUGUUGUUAAAGACUAGGGCUCAACCCUAGAAAAGCAAUGGAAACUAUUAGACUUGAGUAUGGCAGGGGUAGAGGGAAUUUCUAGUGUAGCGGUGAAAUGCGUAGAUAUUAGAAAGAACACCGGUGGCGAAAGCGCUCUACUGGACCAUUACUGACACUCAGAGGCGAAAGCUAGGGUAGCAAAAGGGAUUAGAUACCCCUGUAGUCCUAGCCGUAAACGAUGGAUACUAGAUGUUGUGCUUUCCGUACAGUAUCGUAGCUAACGCGUUAAGUAUCCCGCCUGGGGAGUACGCUCGCAAGGGUGAAACUCAAAGGAAUUGACGGGGGCCCGCACAAGCGGUGGAGCAUGUGGUUUAAUUCGAUGCAACGCGAAGAACCUUACCAGGACUUGACAUACUACAAAUUCUUUAGAGAUAGAGAAGUGCCUUCGGGAAUGUAGAUACAGGUGGUGCAUGGCUGUCGUCAGCUCGUGUCGUGAGAUGUUGGGUUAAGUCCCGCAACGAGCGCAACCCUUAUUUUUAGUUACCAAUUCGUUGGGUUCUCUAGAAAGACUGCCGGUGACAAACCGGAGGAAGGUGAGGAUGACGUCAAGUCAGCAUGCCCCUUAUGUCCUGGGCUACACACGUGCUACAAUGGUUAAGACAAAGAGUCGCGAGCUCGCAAGAGUCAGCUAAUCUCAUAAACUUAGCCUAAGUUCAGAUUGUAGGCUGCAACUCGCCUGCAUGAAG
rnacentral:rRNA from 1 species